rnacentral:rRNA from 1 species
GGAUGAACGCUAGCUACGGGCUUAACACAUGCAAGUCGAGGGGAAACGACAUCGAAAGCUUGCUUUUGAUGGGCGUCGACCGGCGCACGGGUGAGUAACGCGUAUCCAACCUGCCCACCACUUGGGGAUAACCUUGCGAAAGUAAGACUAAUACCCAAUGACGUCUCUAGAAGACAUCUGAAAGAGAUUAAAGAUUUAUCGGUGAUGGAUGGGGAUGCGUCUGAUUAGCUUGUUGGCGGGGUAACGGCCCACCAAGGCAACGAUCAGUAGGGGUUCUGAGAGGAAGGUCCCCCACAUUGGAACUGAGACACGGUCCAAACUCCUACGGGAGGCAGCAGUGAGGAAUAUUGGUCAAUGGACGAGAGUCUGAACCAGCCAAGUAGCGUGCAGGAUGACGGCCCUAUGGGUUGUAAACUGCUUUUAUAAGGGAAUAAAGUGAGUCUCGUGAGGCUUUUUGCAUGUACCUUAUGAAUAAGGACCGGCUAAUUCCGUGCCAGCAGCCGCGGUAAUACGGAAGGUCCGGGCGUUAUCCGGAUUUAUUGGGUUUAAAGGGAGCGUAGGCCGGAGAUUAAGCGUGUUGUGAAAUGUAGACGCUCAACGUCUGCACUGCAGCGCGAACUGGUUUCCUUGAGUACGCACAAAGUGGGCGGAAUUCGUGGUGUAGCGGUGAAAUGCUUAGAUAUCACGAAGAACUCCGAUUGCGAAGGCAGCUCACUGGAGCGCAACUGACGCUGAAGCUCGAAAGUGCGGGUAUCGAACAGGAUUAGAUACCCUGGUAGUUCGCACGGUAAACGAUGGAUGCCCGCUGUUGGUCUGAAUAGGUCAGCGGCCAAGCGAAAGCAUUAAGCAUCCCACCUGGGGAGUACGCCGGCAACGGUG